rnacentral:lncRNA from 1 species
AUGAACAAGGAGUCAGGUGUAACUAAUAAAAACACAAAUAUAGUUUUAAACGAAGUAAAUAAAAAAAAAUCACCAGAUACCAUAAUGUCGGAUAAGCUACAAACGGAGGAAAAUAAAGAAAAGGAAUUAAACGUAAGCGAAGAUGAUUAUAUGAAUAUAGAUAGAAGACAGGUAAAAAAAUUUAGUGAACCUAAUAUUAAAAUGAAUAUUAAUGAUAUUAAUAAUAUUAAUAAUAUUAAUAAUAUUAAUAUUAAUAAUAAUAAUAAUAAUAUUAGUAGUAGGCUAAGUUUACAAAAUUUAAACGUAACAGAAAUUGAAACAAAUACAACAUCUGAUUAUGAGUCACUAAAGUAUAAAUACAAAUAUCAAAUGAAAAUGGAUGAAAAUGAGUUAGAAGAAUUUAAACACAUUUUAAAAAAUGAAUUUAAAGAAUUAAAUAGGAUUAGAAAAGAAAGGGGAAGCUUAAAGGAAAGCUCUGCUGACUUAAUACGUUUAAGAAGUAUGGAUGAAAAAAAACAAAUGAUUAAUAUUAAUAAAGAAGAUAUAAUAUCACAAGAUGUUAAUAACAAAAAAGAUACAGUAAUAAAUAAUGUGGAUAUGAACGGUUCCAAAAUAAACCAAACCAAUAUAAACACUAAAGAGCCCAAUGAGAAACUUUUGAAUGAACAAGAAGAUAGCAAGAUGUGUAGUGAAAGAUUAGCUGAAAAAUUAACUUUUGGAACUGAUGUGGGUGUAUUGAAGAAGCUACAAGAUGACUGGUGGGCAUCAGGCGUCAAUUUAUCUGACUUCUUAAAUUAUAUAGAGUCCAACAAAUAUGUGAAUAUAUCUCAGUUAUCAUUAAAUUUUAAAAAAACACCAGAGGAUAUAAAAGAAAAGUUGGAACAACUGGAAGAACAUGAUUUGAUAAAUGGCGUUUUAGAUGAAAAUGGAAAUUAUAUUUAUUUAUCGCAAGAGGAAAUUAAUAAAUUGUGUUAUGCAAUACAGGAAAAUACAAAUAUUAAUACACAUGAAGACUUUUUAAAUAUGUGCAAUACAGUUGUGUCACUUAAUGUGAAUGAUGAUCAGGUUAUUCAUUUUUUUUCAAAUGAAUUUAAAGCUCAUUUUAGGCAAGCUCAUUUUAAGUAUAUUUUUAUUUUAUCAUGCUUAUGAAAUAUAUAAAUUAUUACACAUUUCUGUUUACAGAACGUAAAAAAAUUAAAAAACAAGUAAAGUUCGAAUUAAAUUAACAAUGGGGAAUUUCUAUUUUUUUUUUUUUUUUUUUUUUUUAUAUUCCGCCUGAACAUUCAGGUAAAUAGAGCAAAAAAAAAAUAAACAUACAUACAUAUACUUACCUACA